rnacentral:rRNA from 1 species
AGCAGCCGCGGUAAUUCCAGCUCCAAUAGCGUAUAUUAAAGUUGUUGCAGUUAAAAACUCGUAGUUGAAUUUCGGGACCAAUCUGCCGGUCGUGCCUCCGGUACGCACUGGUUUUAUUGGUUUCUCCCUUCUGACGAACCAUGAUGUCAUUAAUUUGGUGUCAUGGGGAAUCAGGACUGUUACUUUGAAAAAUUAGAGUGUUUAUAGCAGGCUUACGCUUGAAUACAUUAGCAUGGAAUAAUGAAAUAGGACGUUUGACCCUAUUUUGUUGGUUUCUAGGAUCGACGUAAUGAUUAAUAGGGAUAGUUGGGGGCAUUAGUAUUCAAUUGUCAGAGGUGAAAUUCUUGGAUUUAUUGAAGACUAACUACUGCGAAAGCAUUUGCCAAGGAUGUUUUCAUUAAUCAAGAACGAAAGUUAGGGGAUCGAAGACGAUCAGAUACCGUCGUAGUCUUAACCAUAAACUAUGCCGACUAGGGAUCGGAUGAUGUUAAUUUUUAAUGACUCAUUCGGCGCCUUACGG